UAUUAAAAUUUUCAUCAAUUUCUAUUGUUAAAAUCUAGUGUUAAUGACAAAAUAACCAGAUAGUUACAUGUGCAUGCCACGUAUAUCUCAUGCUAAUGUACAAAGGCUAGCUUUUAAGGGUAAAAAUACAUAAAAUUUUUAAUA
rnacentral:pre_miRNA from 1 species